ACGCUCGACACCUACGGAGGCAGCAGUGGGGAAUAUUGCACAAUGGGGGAAACCCUGAUGCAGCGACGCCGCGUGAAGGAAGAAGUAUUUCGGUAUGUAAACUUCUAUCAGCAGGGAAGAAAAUGACGGUACCUGACUAAGAAGCCCCGGCUAACUACGUGCCUGCAGCCGCGGUAAUCUGAGCGGGCUGGCAAGGC
rnacentral:rRNA from 1 species